rnacentral:rRNA from 1 species
GACAGAGGUGCCAAGCGUUAGGCGGAAUCACUGGGCUUAAAGCGUGUGUAGGCGGAUGUCUAAGUACCUUGUGAAAUCCCACGGCUCAACCGUGGAACUGCUUGGUAUACUGGAUGUCUUGAGCCAUCUAGGGGCUACCGGAACAAAUGGUGGAGCGGUGAAAUGCGUUGAUAUCGGAAGGAACGCCGGUGGCGAAAACGACGGACUGGAUCUCUUCUGACGCUGAGGCGCGAAAGCCAGGGGAGCAAACGGG